UACAGAGGUCGCAAGCGUUGUUCGGAAUCAUUGGGCGUAAAGGGCGUGUAGGUGGCGUGGUAAGUCGGGUGUGAAAGCUCGGGGCUUAACUCCGAAACUGCAUUCGAUACUGCGGUGCUUGAGGACUGGAGAGGAGACUGGAAUUUACGGUGUAGCGGUGAAAUGCGUAGAUAUCGUAAGGAAGACCAGUGGCGAAGGCGGGUCUCUGGACAGUUCCUGACGCUGAAGCACGAAGGCCAGGGGAGCAAACGGG
rnacentral:rRNA from 1 species